UCCAAUUUUUUAUAAAAUUAUUUGUGAAGUUAUUAAAGACAAAAUAAAUACUAUUAUUGUAAAAGAAAAUUCUACCAUAAAUAAUAGAGAUAAUAUGUUAAUAAUAAAAUAAAAUUAGGAUUAUUGCUAGUAGGCUUAAACCGGUCAUGCCUGCCAUCAUCAACCAAACUCAGUCUGGAUUUGUGAAAUCUAGAAUCUCCACUGAUAAUGUUCUGCUUGCUAGUGAGAUUCUUGCUUCUGCAAGUAAGAGGGGUGGAACCCAAAUGUUCUGUGCUAAACUUGAUAUCAGAAAGGCAUUUGAUUCUGUAUCUAGAGAUUUUGUUUUAGCUAGGUUGGCUCAAAAAGGCUUCCCCAAUCUUCUUGUUAACUGGAUCAGGCUGUGUAUCUCGAAUGUACAUUAUUCUGUUGUGCUAAAUGGUGCUUUGGAGGGCUAUUUUUCUUCUUUUGCUGGCUUAAAACAAGGUUGCCUGUUGAGCCCUUUUCUAUUUUGUGUGGUCAUGGAUGCUCUUUCUAAUCUCUUAGAGGUUAGAGGUUUCAAAGGUAUCACUGCGGAUAAUUUUUCUCUCACACACCUUCUUUAUGCUGAUGAUGUUCUGAUUUUUGGAGAGGCCUCUAUUCAAAACUGCCACAAUCUAGCUUGCAUCCUUAGUGAUUUUGCCAAUGCCACGGGAUUGCACAUUAACUUUGAUAAGAGCGCUAUCAUGUUCCCUAAGCAGCAAGUUAAUCAUCAAGACAUAUGCAACAUCCUAUCCAUUCACAAUAUCACUCCAAAGAUCAUAUACCUUGGGAUUCCUUUGUCUUUCCACAGACUCAAGAUAGAAGACUUUAUACCUUUAGUGGAUAGUAUCAACAAAAAAAUGAAUGGUUGGAAGGCUAACUUGCUUUCUUUUGCUGGUAGACUCCAAUAUCUCAAGUUCACUAUACAAAAUACUAUUACUUAUUGGAUUCGUGGCUCUAUUAUACCUAAAACUAUUUCUAAAUUCCUAAAGAAAGCGAGCUCUCGUUUCCUUUUUUUUUUUUUUUUUUUGGGAAUCAUCUCAAGUCAGGAAGCUGCAUAUGGUGUCUUGGGAUGUUAUUUGCCGUCCUAAGAACAAGGGUGGUCUGGGUGUCACUUCUUUCAAUGCUUUGCAAUUUGGUUUUAAUGGUUAUGUUAUUUUUAGGAUGUACAAUUCAUCCUCCCCUCUCUCCUCCUGGCUGUUAAGCAAAUAUUCAUCUCCCUGGAAGCAACCUCCUUCCACUGCCUCUAAAUUUUGGAAAUCUGAUUGUAAGACUGCUCUUGAUGCUAAAGGCUGUUUUUGCUUUAGAAUUACUAGGCAUGCCCCCAUCUCUUUUUUACGGGAUCACUGGUGCUUUAAUCUUACAUUUGAGGAAUAUUUGGGCUAUGCUAUUGAUUUCCCAGAUUGUGUAUUGGGAUCUUUUUUCAUGGAUAACAAUUGGAUUCUCCCAGAUUUUUUGCCUGUUCAAAUUAAAAACCUCUUUCUGCACAAUAAUGCUAGUGAGGAUCCCUGUGUUCUUUGGAAAAAUGGUUUCAUACCUAAAUUCAAAGACUAUAUUGAGGAAUUCUAUUUUGAAUUGCCUAGUUGCAACUGGAGUAAAGCUGUGUGGCAUAAGAGAAACUGUUUAAAGCAUAAUGUUUAUGUGUGGAUGGCUCUAGUUGGGGGCCUUAAAACUGCGGAAGCGCUCCGUAUUAGGCAGAUUGUGGUGCCUAGUAGGUGCAGCUUAUGCCAUAUCUUUGAUGAAACGGUUAAUCAUCUUUUCUUUGAAUGCACUUACUCCUAUUCUGUGCUUAAAGCAUUGAUCCCAGCCACGGUGGGGCUUCUUCUUAGACCUUCCUUGCGGCAUAUGUUUGUCUGGGUUAAUGAUGUUUACAAAGGCAAUGCUUUGGUGAAAAAUUUUCACAAAUUCAUGAUCUGUUGCACUAUUUAUUACAUUUGGAAGGAAAGAAAUUCAAGAAGAUUCGGGGGUAACAUACAAAGUUCUACCACUCUUUCCCUGCUUAUUAAAAGAGUUGUUUUUGAGAAAAUUUUAAAAUGGAAAGACUCUUCUUCAUUGCUGGAACUGCUAUAAGCUGGAGGUAUUUUGGUUUCUGUGAAACAGCCUUGGUGGGUUGUUUCAUAUGUGCUGGUGGUGGUGACUUUCUGCGCAAUUUCACUACGGGUCCCUUUGUCCCUUUGAUAUUUCUGCAAAGCAAAGACUGGACAAUGAUGACACUCCCUAUUGCAGAUCCUGUGGAUGGCCUCCGGGCAACCCGGGCUUUCAUUAUUUCUUAUCGUUAUUUUCUGAGUCUAGUCUUUAAGGCUUGGGAGCUGGAUUAUGUUUACCUUAUAUUGCAGGUUUCGGAGCUUUUGGGAGCUGGUUCUUUCUCUUGGGAUUACUUCUACAGCAAUUUUUUGGGCCGGUCGUUGCUGACUGGCUUCUCUGUUCACUCUGUUUUAAAUACCACAUUUUUUGCUCUUUUACUGUUUUUUGUUGAGUAUGGGUGAUAUAGUUGAUCUUUUUUGCUUUUUCUAACAUAAGUUCUGGUUUUUGCUUAUGUUGGAUUUUACUUGUAAUCUUCUUUUUACUUUCACAUGUAAUCUCUCUUUUUCUCAGUAAUAUAUGGGCUUAGGCCCCAAUUUUUUUCAAAAAAAAAAAAAAAGUCAAAAACUGUCUCAAAUAAAUAGGUGCAAAUACAAUUAUACUAGUAAACGACAAGUUUCUAUAGGUGCGUAAUUCCCAGUUUUUCUGUUUUCUACAUUUUUUUCUCGCCAAGCUUUUUGCCAAUCAAUUUGGCUCGUGGAAGUUGAGAAAUUUCGAAGACCGAUGGCGACGGAGACGAAACCUGCGGCGGGUCAAGACGUCAAGAUGGACCUCUUCGAGGAUGAUGAUGAGUUUGAGGAGUUUGAAUUAGGCGAAGCAUGGUCGGCCCCUAGUUAAGUUUGGCCUCAACAAGCAACUAUCGGCAGUGAGAUUGAUGAGUAGUUGAAUGUGUAUCAUGAUUGGACGCUGAGUUGAGGAGAAGUUUCACAUCUCGCUUGAUGACUAUUCUUAUGGGGGGCGAUGAAGAUGGAUAUUAAUCCUCCAAUGAUAGAGACAAAAAUUAAUCUCACCACUUAAUGUGAUUCCUUAACUCUUGAAAAUUGUUUAAAUUUAGUCCCUCCAUUAAGAUUAUUGUGUAAUUAAAUGAAACAUCACAUGCAUGACAUUGCUUGGAAUUUAAAUCUGUUAAACAGCUUUAUAAUACUUAGCAUAUCCUUAUAGUUUCGUA